UACGAGAGGUGCAAGCGUUGUUCGGAAUUAUUGGGCGUAAAGCGCACGUAGGCGGGAGCAUAUGUCGAUUGUGAAAGCCCAGGGCCCAACCCUGGAAUUGCAGUCGAAACUGUGCUUCUUGAAUACUUGAGAGGGUGGGGGAAUUCCUGGUGAAGCAGUGAAAUGCGUAGAUAUCAGGAGGAACACCGGAGGCGAAGGCGCCUGCCUGGCAAGAUAUUGACGCUGAGGUGCGAAAGCGUGGGGAGCAAACAGG
rnacentral:rRNA from 1 species